CCUACGGGUGGCUGCAGUGAGGAAUAUUGGUCCAUGGUCGGGAGACUGAACCAGCCAAGCCGCGUGAGGGAUGAAGGUACAGAGUAUCGUAAACCUCUUUUGUCAGGGAACAAAGGCGGGGACGCGUCCCCGGAUGAGUGUACCUGAAGAAAAAGCAUCGGCUAACUCCGUCCCAGCAGCCGCGGUAAUACGGAGGAUGCGAGCGUUAUCCGGAUUGAUUGGGUUUAGGGGUUGCGCAGGCGGUCUGUAAAGUCAGCGGUAAAAGCCCGGGGCUCAACCCCGGCCCGCCGUUGAAACUGGCAGUCGCGAGUUGGAGAGAAGUAUGCGGAAUGCGCGGUGUAGCGGUGAAAUGCAUAGAUAGCGCGCAGAACUCCGAUUGCGAAGGCAGCAUGCCGGCUCCACACUGACGCUGAGGCACGAAAGCGUGGGUAUCGAACAGGAUUAGAUACCCCAGUAGUC
rnacentral:rRNA from 1 species